GACGAACGCUGGCGGCGUGCCUAAUACAUGCAAGUCGAGCGGAUCUUCAUUAGCUUGCUUUUGAAGAUCAGCGGCGGACGGGUGAGUAACACGUGGGCAACCUGCCUGUAAGACUGGGAUAACUUCGGGAAACCGGAUCUAAUACCGGAUAAUCCUUUUCCUCUCAUGAGGAAAAGCUGAAAGACGGUUUCGGCUGUCACUUACAGAUGGGCCCGCGGCGCAUUAGCUAGUUGGUGAGGUAACGGCUCACCAAGGCGACGAUGCGUAGCCGACCUGAGGGGGUAGUCGGCCACACUGGGACUGAGACACGGCCCAGACUCCUACGUGAGGCAGCAGUAGGGAAUCUUCCGCAAUGGACGAAAGUCUGACGGAGCAACGCCGCGUGAGCGAUGAAGGCCUUCGGGUCGUAAAGCUCUGUUGUCAGGGAAGAACAAGUACCGGAGUAACUGCCGGUACCUUGACGGUACCUGACCAGAAAGCCACGGCUAACUACGUGCCAGCCGCCGCGGUAACAC
rnacentral:rRNA from 1 species